UACGAAGGGUGCUAGCGUUGUUCGGAAUGACUGGGCGUAAAGGGAGCGUAGGCGGUUGAGUACGUUUGGUGUGAAAGUCCUGGGCUUAACCUGGGGACUGCAUUGAAUACGGCUUGACUUGAGGUAUAGAGGGGAAGAUGGAAUUGUGUGUGUAGAGGUGAAAUUCGUAGAUAUACACAAGAACACCAGUGGCGAAGGCGGCUCACUGGUCCGGUACUGACGCUGAGGUGCGAAAGCGUGGGGAGCAAACAGG
rnacentral:rRNA from 1 species